AUUGAACGCUGGCGGCAGGCCUAACACAUGCAAGUCGAACGGUAACAGGAAGCAGCUUGCUGCUUCGCUGACGAGUGGCGGACGGGUGAGUAAUGUCUGGGAAACUGCCUGAUGGAGGGGGAUAACUACUGGAAACGGUAGCUAAUACCGCAUAACGUCGCAAGACCAAAGAGGGGGACCUUAGGGCCUCUUGCCAUCGGAUGUGCCCAGAUGGGAUUAGCUAGUAGGUGGGGUAACGGCUCACCUAGGCGACGAUCCCUAGCUGGUCUGAGAGGAUGACCAGCCACACUGGAGCUGAGACACGGUCCAGACUCCUACGGGAGGCAGCAGUGGGGAAUAUUGCACAAUGGGCGCAAGCCUGAUGCAGCCAUGCCGCGCGUAUGAAGAAGGCCUUCGGGUUGUAAAGUACUUUCAGCGGGGAGGAAGGGAGUAAAGUUAAUACCUUUGCUCAUUGACGUUACCCGCAGAAGAAGCACCGGCUAACUCCGUG
rnacentral:rRNA from 1 species